UGAUGGUUAGUGAUGGUUAGUGAUGGUUUAUGUGGGUUUGUGAGAGUUUGUGAUAGUUAGUGAUUGUUUGUGAGAAGUUGUGAUGGUUAGUGAUUGUGAGAGUUUGUGAUGGUUAGUGAUGGUUUGUGAUGGUUUAUGUGGGUUUGUGAGAGUUUGUGAUGGUUAGUGAUUGUUUGUGAGGGUUGGUGAUGGUUUUUGAGAGUUUGUGAUGGUUUAUGUGGGUUUGUGAUGGUUUGUGAGGGUUUGUGAUGGUUUAUGUGGGUUUGUGAGAGUUUGUGAUGGUUAGUGAUUGUUUGUGAGGAGUUGUGAUGGUUAGUGAUUGUUUGUGAGGGUUUGUGAUGGUUUUUGAGAGUUUGUGAUGGUUUAUGUGGGUUUGUGAUGGUUAGUGAUGGUUUGUGAUGGUUUAUGUGGGUUUGUGAGAGUUUGUGAUGGUUAGUGAUUGUUUGUGAGAGUUUGUGAUGGUUUGUGAGGGUUUGUGAUGGUUUAUGUGGGUUUGUGAGAGUUUGUGAUGGUU
ensembl:lncRNA